GGGUUGUGAGGUUAAGCGACUAAGCGUACACGGUGGAUGCCCUGGCAGUCAGAGGCGAUGAAGGACGUGCUAAUCUGCGAAAAGCGUCGGUAAGGUGAUAUGAACCGUUAUAACCGGCGAUGUCCGAAUGGGGAAACCCAGUGUGAUUCGUCACACUAUCGUUAACUGAAUACAUAGGUUAACGAGGCGAACCGGGGGAACUGAAACAUCUAAGUACCCCGAGGAAAAGAAAUCAACCGAGAUUCCCCCAGUAGCGGCGAGCGAACGGGGAGCAGCCCAGAGUCUGAAUCAGCUUGUGUGUUAGUGGAACGGUCUGGAAAGUCCGACGGUACAGGGUGAUAGUCCCGUACACCAAAAUGCACAGGUUGUGAACUCGAAGAGUAGGGCGGGACACGUGGUAUCCUGUCUGAAUAUGGGGGGACCAUCCUCCAAGGCUAAAUACUCCUGACUGACCGAUAGUGAACCAGUACCGUGAGGGAAAGGCGAAAAGAACCCCGGCGAGGGGAGUGAAAAAGAACCUGAAACCGUGUACGUACAAGCAGUGGGAGCACCUUCGGGUGUGACUGCGUACCUUUUGUAUAAUGGGUCAGCGACUUAUAUUCUGUAGCAAGGUUAACCGUAUAGGGGAGCCGCAGGGAAACCGAGUCUUAACUGGGCGUUAAGUUGCAGGGUAUAGACCCGAAACCCGGUGAUCUAGCCAUGGGCAGGUUGAAGGUUGGGUAACACUAACUGGAGGACCGAACCGACUAAUGUUGAAAAAUUAGCGGAUGACUUGUGGCUGGGGGUGAAAGGCCAAUCAAACCGGGAGAUAGCUGGUUCUCCCCGAAAGCUAUUUAGGUAGCGCCUCGUGAACUCAUCUUCGGGGGUAGAGCACUGUUUCGGCUAGGGGGUCAUCCCGACUUACCAACCCGAUGCAAACUACGAAUACCGAAGAAUGUUAUCACGGGAGACACACGGCGGGUGCUAACGUCCGUCGUGAAGAGGGAAACAACCCAGACCGCCAGCUAAGGUCCCAAAGUCAUGGUUAAGUGGGAAACGAUGUGGGAAGGCACAGACAGCCAGGAUGUUGGCUUAGAAGCAGCCAUCAUUUAAAGAAAGCGUAAUAGCUCACUGGUCGAGUCGGCCUGCGCGGAAGAUGUAACGGGGCUAAACCAUGCACCGAAGCUGCGGCAGCGACACUAUGUGUUGUUGGGUAGGGGAGCGUUCUGUAAGCCUGCGAAGGUGUGCUGUGAGGCAUGCUGGAGGUAUCAGAAGUGCGAAUGCUGACAUAAGUAACGAUAAAGCGGGUGAAAAGCCCGCUCGCCGGAAGACCAAGGGUUCCUGUCCAACGUUAAUCGGGGCAGGGUGAGUCGACCCCUAAGGCGAGGCCGAAAGGCGUAGUCGAUGGGAAACAGGUUAAUAUUCCUGUACUUGGUGUUACUGCGAAGGGGGGACGGAGAAGGCUAUGUUAGCCGGGCGACGGUUGUCCCGGUUUAAGCAUGUAGGCUGGUUAUCCAGGAAAAUCCGGAUAAUCAAGGCUGAGGUGUGAUGACGAGGCACUACGGUGCUGAAGUAACAAAUGCCCUGCUUCCAGGAAAAGCCUCUAAGCAUCAGGUAACAUUAAAUCGUACCCCAAACCGACACAGGUGGUCAGGUAGAGAAUACCAAGGCGCUUGAGAGAACUCGGGUGAAGGAACUAGGCAAAAUGGUGCCGUAACUUCGGGAGAAGGCACGCUGGUGUGUAGGUGAAGUCCCUGCGGAUGGAGCUGAGACCAGUCGAAGAUACCAGCUGGCUGCAACUGUUUAUUAAAAACACAGCACUGUGCAAACACGAAAGUGGACGUAUACGGUGUGACGCCUGCCCGGUGCCGGAAGGUUAAUUGAUGGGGUUAUCCGUAAGGAGAAGCUCUUGAUCGAAGCCCCGGUAAACGGCGGCCGUAACUAUAACGGUCCUAAGGUAGCGAAAUUCCUUGUCGGGUAAGUUCCGACCUGCACGAAUGGCGUAAUGAUGGCCAGGCUGUCUCCACCCGAGACUCAGUGAAAUUGAACUCGCUGUGAAGAUGCAGUGUACCCGCGGCAAGACGGAAAGACCCCGUGAACCUUUACUAUAGCUUGACACUGAACAUUGAGCCUUGAUGUGUAGGAUAGGUGGGAGGCUUUGAAGCGUGGACGCCAGUCUGCGUGGAGCCAACCUUGAAAUACCACCCUUUAAUGUUUGAUGUUCUAACGUUGGCCCCUUAUCGGGGUUGCGGACAGUGUCUGGUGGGUAGUUUGACUGGGGCGGUCUCCUCCCAAAGCGUAACGGAGGAGCACGAAGGUUAGCUAAUCCUGGUCGGACAUCAGGAGGUUAGUGCAAUGGCAUAAGCUAGCUUGACUGCGAGCGUGACGGCGCGAGCAGGUGCGAAAGCAGGUCAUAGUGAUCCGGUGGUUCUGAAUGGAAGGGCCAUCGCUCAACGGAUAAAAGGUACUCCGGGGAUAACAGGCUGAUACCGCCCAAGAGUUCAUAUCGACGGCGGUGUUUGGCACCUCGAUGUCGGCUCAUCACAUCCUGGGGCUGAAGUAGGUCCCAAGGGUAUGGCUGUUCGCCAUUUAAAGUGGUACGCGAGCUGGGUUUAGAACGUCGUGAGACAGUUCGGUCCCUAUCUGCCGUGGGCGCUGGAGAAUUGAGGGGGGCUGCUCCUAGUACGAGAGGACCGGAGUGGACGCAUCACUGGUGUUCGGGUUGUCAUGCCAAUGGCACUGCCCGGUAGCUAAAUGCGGAAGAGAUAAGUGCUGAAAGCAUCUAAGCACGAAACUUGCCCCGAGAUGAGUUCUCCCUGAGACUUUAAGUCUCCUGAAGGAACGUUGAAGACGACGACGUUGAUAGGCCGGGUGUGUAAGCGCAGCGAUGCGUUGAGCUAACCGGUACUAAUGAACCGUGAGGCUUAACCUUACAACGCCGAAG
rnacentral:rRNA from 1 species